GAUGAGUGCUGGCGGCGUGCCUAACACAUGCAAGUCGAGCGGCAGCGCGAGUAGUUUACUACUUGGCGGCGAGCGGCGGACGGCUGAGUAACGCGUGGGAACGUGCCCCAAAGUGAGGAAUAACUGCCCGAAAGGGUGGCUAAUGCCGCAUAGGAUCUUCGGAUUAAAGGAUUUAUCCGCUUUGGGCGCGGCCCGCGUCGGAUUAGGUUGUUGGUGAGGUAAUGGCUCACCAAGCCGACGAUCCGUAGCUGGUCUGAGAGGAUGAUCAGCCAGACUGGGACUGAGACACGGCCCAGACUCCUACGGGAGGCAGCAGUGAGGAAUCUUCCACAAUGGGCGAAAGCCUGAUGGAGCAACGCCGCGUGAAGGAUGAAGGCCCUCGGGUUGUAAACUUCUUUUAUAAGUGAAGGAUAUGACGGUAACUUAUGAAUAAGCACCGGCUAACUACGUGUCAGCAGCCGCAGUAA
rnacentral:rRNA from 1 species